rnacentral:rRNA from 1 species
AUUGAACGCUGGCGGCAGGCCUAACACAUGCAAGUCGAGCGGAUGAAGGGAGCUUGCUCCUGGAUUCAGCGGCGGACGGGUGAGUAAUGCCUAGGAAUCUGCCUGGUAGUGGGGGAUAACGUCCGGAAACGGGCGCUAAUACCGCAUACGUCCUGAGGGAGAAAGUGGGGGAUCUUCGGACCUCACGCUAUCAGAUGAGCCUAGGUCGGAUUAGCUAGUUGGUGGGGUAAAGGCCUACCAAGGCGACGAUCCGUAACUGGUCUGGGAGGAUGAUCAGGCACAGGGGACCGGACAACCGGACCAGAGACUGACGGGAGGCACAGUCGGGUAAGAUAGGCAAAUGGGGGGAAGCUUGCUCAAGCCGUGCCGGAGUGGUGAAGAAGGUCUUCGAUUGGUAAAGCACUUUAAGUGGGGGGAAAGGGCGUUACCUAAAAACCUGCCUGUUUGACGGUAACGAACAAAAAAGCAACGGGUAAAUUCGGG